rnacentral:lncRNA from 1 species
CUUCAUUUUCUUGUUUUCUGUUUUUCUGUAAUCUUAUGGUUUCAUUACGUUUGUGGCAGUGUGCCUCUCCUUGUUUUAUUGUCCAUUCCGGUUCUUCCUCUGUAUCUUCCCAUGUAGUCUUUUAGACGCACUAUAUGAGAAAGGCCCUCUCCCAGAAGAAAAUGUGGAAGUAUAUGAUUACGAAGCACUAUACCCCUCUAUAAAAUUGGAACUGGCAUGCUUACUAUUAUAUUGUAUGCUAUUAGAGAACUUAAUAGAAGAAAAAACAGAUCCAAGUGUACUAAGGAAUGUAUACCACUUAUUAAUACACGAGGUAUGUUUCCGAUUUAACGGUAAAUAUUACAUACAAACCACAGGGGUACCUAUAGGAAGCCCGUUGGUGGGCAUUUUGGCUGAACUGAUAAUUAGAAAGAAAGAAAUGGAGGUAGCACAACAAAUAACCCAAGAAGUGAAGCUGUUUUGAAGAUACAUAGACGUCAUU